rnacentral:rRNA from 1 species
GGAAUCUUGCGCAAUGGGCGAAAGCCUGACGCAGCAACGCCGCGUGCGGGAUGAAGGCCUUCGGGCUGUAAACCGCUUUCAGCAGGAACGAAAAUGACGGUACCUGCAGAAGAAGGAGCGGCCAACUACGUGCCAGCAGCCGCGGUGACACGUAGGCUCCAAGCGUUGUCCGGAUUUAUUGGGCGUAAAGAGCUCGUAGGCGGUUGAGUAAGUCGGGUGUGAAAACUCUGGGCUUAACCCGGAGACGCCAUCCGAUACUGCUCUGACUAGAGUUCAGGAGGGGAGUGGGGAAUUCCUAGUGUAGCGGUGAAAUGCGCAGAUAUUAGGAGGAACACCGGUGGCGAAGGCGCCACUCUGGACUGAAACUGACGCUGAGGAGCGAAAGCAUGGGUAGCAAACAGGAUUAGAUACCCUGGUAGUCCAUGCCGUAAACGGUGGGCACUAGGUGUGGGUUCCAACUAACGGGAUCCGCGCCGUCGCUAACGCAUUAAGUGCCCCGCCUGGGGAGUACGGUCGCAAGACUAAAACUCAAAUGAAUUGACGG